ACACAGGAGGGAGCUGGCUGGGGGAAGCCGGGGCUCCGCGCUCCACACAGCCCAGACUCUGGGCCUGGGGCGCAGCCGGAGGCUCCCCGGCUGCCCACAGGCCUCCCCAACGCCGGCUGCGCUCCGGGAGGAACAGCGCGCCGAGUUAGCACAAGCGAGCAGCGCCCUGCGCACUGCGCCCAGGGCGGCUUCGGCAACAGCACUGGCUUCGGGGGCACCACGGGCACCCUGGGCACCCUCGCUUCGCCCCAGCUUGGCCCUGUGCUCUGCGGCUGGCGACUCUGGAGAAGGGGCAGCUGGAGGCGCCCAGAUUGCUCGGACCCCCGCCGAGGCCGGGAGCUGCGCCUCAGGCGAGGGGCUGUCACCGAGGAAGAGCACAGUCGAUUUUAGCUUCUGAAAAAGGGAGCAAGGAAGCGGCAGCAAUCCGCUGCCUCACGUCGCUGCCGACCUCCAUCUCAUUUUCGAUUUUCUACUCUUUUGGUUUUCAGAUAAUUGGGCCAGAGGGAGGGGUGCACAACCUGGAUCCUGGGGACAAUUGGCAGAUAUAUAUCCAUGUAUCUUGCUGAGGAAGGACCAGCAGAAAGGAAGACUGGAAAUCUGACUAUUUGGGUUGGCUUUUGUCACUUAUUCACUGUGUUCUCUUGGGGAAGUAGCUUAAUCUCGGGGUUAGCUUCUUUAUCUGUGAGAUGGGAAUAGUAUUAGCAACGAGUGAUGUUUGCCUUCGAGGAUUUUUAUUACUUAGUUGGGAAGAACAAUCUUUAUGGUAGGUUGUUAUUGUUUGUUAGCCUUAAAGUCAGAACCUAUACACAAACUCCAAGAUAAAAUUUCUCACAGACACGAAUCUCGGAGUGCUGGGCGCGAGGCGGAGGGCUUCUCACCCAUCUCCCCUCCCUGUCCCGGCAGAGAAGACUCGCCUAGUUGGGACAGGAGGCCAAGAAUGCUUUCCCCAACUGCUUCUACGUGAGAAGAGGUGCUGGGAGUGACAGGAGAAUUUAACCAACAUACAGCCCACCUGACAGCGUUUGUGUGAGUGUGUGUGCGCGCGCAUAGGCGCGCGCCUGUGUUCAGAAGGAUUAGAUCUCCAAUAAAUUGACCAUUUUCAUCUAUCACUAUCAAAAGCUUUUCAGCUGGUAGCAGUGACUACUCCAUGAACAGCAACUUAUGAAGCUCAUUUCAAGACUUUCUGUCCAUUGGAUUUAAAUAUUAUUUUGGGAGAGUUUGGAUAGAGAGCACCAUUUAUCAAAGCCAAGAGUUGUUCACCUCAUGUUCUACUUUUGAAUGAGCAUCUGGCAGAGGACUCUGUGGCCCUGGAUGACUGCAGAGACAUUAGGUGGAGAGAACUUCAGCCACUGGAUGGGAAGACCAUCCUUUACAAGUUGCUAAAGACCCCUGGACUAUGAAAUGAGCAAUGACUAGAUCUUCAUGCUGUUAAGCUACUGAGACGUGGGGACUGUUUAUUACAGCUUCUAGCUUUACUGGCCCUAAUACACCAAGUUGAUUCUAAAAAGGUCCCAUAACCAUAUUCAGUGAAGCGCUACCUUAGACAAAACUAUGGGUAAGAAACUCAUUCAGCCUUCGGA
ensembl:lncRNA